CUGCCUGGAGAGGUGCCACCAUCCCUGGUGCCAAGGCCCACUGGAAGCUCCAUCGUGGUGAUGCACUUGCAAACCUGGAGCCCCAUCUCCUUUUAUAGCAUCUCCAUCUCCAGACCAGAGAACCUGCUUUAGCCACGGUCAUAAGCAAGAGCCGUAAGAGCAGCAAUAAAGGGUGAGAGCUCUGACCCUUGCACUGAUAGGGAUCACGCCCUCCUUCUGCGCAAACACCGUCAGGAGUCAAACAUCUGAAAAAGCCAAACCGAGAUAUUUAUACCAAGGCUUUCAAGAACAGAUGGAAAACUGCAGUGCUCUCCUCUACUAUGCUGCUUUUCCAUGGGACUGCACUUUCCUCUGAUUUUAAAGGCACCUACCAAACUCCAGGAUCUACUCCAGAUAUCUACAGCUGACAAUUAAUGCUGUACACUGCUUUGAAAGCAUGCGUUCUGAUGUGCUGUGCAGAGACAGGCAAGCUGUCAGCAGAUGCUCUGGUCCAGGGCAUAGGAGACAGACG
rnacentral:lncRNA from 1 species